AAAUGAAUAGACGGGAGCCCGCACAAGCAGUGGAGUAUGUGGUUUAAUUCGACGCAACGCGAAAAACCUUACCAAGGAUUGACAUCCUAGGAACCCGGCGUAAUGGCUGGGGUGCCCCUUCGGGGGAAUCUAGAGACAGGUGGUGCAUGGUUGUCGUCAGCUCGUGUCGUGAGAUGUUGGGUUAAGUCCCGCAACGAGCGCAACCCUUACCGUCAGUUGCUACGCAAGAGCACUCUGGCAGGACUGCCGUUGACAAAACGGAGGAAGGUGGGGACGACGUCAAAUCAUCAUGCCCCUUAUAUCUUGGGCUACACACGUACUACAAUGGCGCAAACAAAGAGCAGCGACCCCGCGAGGGCGAGCAAAUCUCAUAAAAGGCGUCCCAGUUCGGACUGCAGGCUGCAACUCGCCUGCACGAAGUUGGAAUUGCUAGUAAUCGCGAAUCAGCAUGUCGCGGUGAAUACGUUCCCGGGCUUUGUACACACCGCCCGU
rnacentral:rRNA from 1 species